rnacentral:rRNA from 1 species
CGGAAAGACCCCGUGAACCUUUACUAUAGCUUGACACUGAACAUUGAGCCUUGAUGUGUAGGAUAGGUGGGAGGCUUUGAAGCGUGGACGCCAGUCUGCGUGGAGCCAACCUUGAAAUACCACCCUUUAAUGUUUGAUGUUCUAACGUGGACCCGUAAUCCGGGUUGCGGACAGUGUCUGGUGGGUAGUUUGACUGGGGCGGUCUCCUCCUAAAGAGUAACGGAGGAGCACGAAGGUUGGCUAAUCCUGGUCGGACAUCAGGAGGUUAGUGCAAUGGCAUAAGCCAGCUUGACUGCGAGCGUGACGGCGCGAGCAGGUGCGAAAGCAGGUCAUAGUGAUCCGGUGGUUCUGAAUGGAAGGGCCAUCGCUCAACGGAUAAAAGGUACUCCGGGGAUAACAGGCUGAUACCGCCCAAGAGUUCAUAUCGACGGCGGUGUUUGGCACCUCGAUGUCGGCUCAUCACAUCCUGGGGCUGAAGUAGGUCCCAAGGGUAUGGCUGUUCGCCAUUUAAAGUGGUACGCGAGCUGGGUUUAGAACGUCGUGAGACAGUUCGGUCCCUAUCUGCCGUGGGCGCUGGAGAACUGAGGGGGGCUGCUCCUAGUACGAGAGGACCGGAGUGGACGCAUCACUGGUGUUCGGGUUGUCAUGCCAAUGGCACUGCCCGGUAGCUAAAUGCGGAAGAGAUAAGUGCUGAAAGCAUCUAAGCACGAAACUUGCCCCGA